GGCAUCUAAUCUUGGUUCCCAUGUUGAUUUUUGUUUUUCUAGAGCUUCUCCUCCUCUUCCUCUCUUCCUCCUCCAUAUCUCUUCAUCCUUUGGAGUAUCCAAGGCCUUUGAAGAAGAAGGAAGAAAUCAGUCUCGAAGUUCCUUGCAGGCUAGCACCUCCAAGGAUCCUGAUUUGCGCCAGUCUUCAUGUGAAUAUGCUAUAGAGACUAGAUGACUUCG
rnacentral:lncRNA from 1 species